AGUUUUUUCCUAAACUUUUCAAGUGCCUUGGAGUACUCCGAGCAGUUUCUUAGGUUGAAGUGUGUGAACUAAUUUCUUGAUAACUAAAUAUCAUUGCAGAAUGGGAAAGCCAUGGACCCGGGAAUGGUUCCCGCAGGGAGGUGAGGCAGGAGGAAGUGAAACAGGCCAAACUGAGAAAAUAUUUUUAAAUGUGAGUUGUCUGACAACAAGGACCACUUUCAGGUACAUUUUCUAUUGAUUGAGGAGGAGGAACAUCCCUUCAGUACAGCUGUAGCCUUGCCUAAUAGCAUGUCAUCUAUGGGAUCAAUGCUCCAGAGAUUGGUGUACUGAUGGCCUCAGACACAGACAUGAAGUAGUAAGGGGAAGAAGCGGAAACUUGAACUCCAGCAGUAUGAGCCACUGGUACCUCAAAGUAAAAGAACAUUCUAGAAGGAUAGGCUUGUGGGAAAUGUGGAAUGAACAGAAGAGGAAGAACACAGAACCAAGCUUUGCUCAAGGACUAAGAUUUCCCAACAAAUUAUGACCCAUCAGCAAUUAUACUUGCCAUACUCUGGAUGGGGGCCUGUGUGCAACUAAUCUCUAUUUUCACUUUUUUCUGUUUACAAUGUCUAUAUGAUGUAAAACUCUAAUGGAUGAGUGAAUCUGGCCACCUGUUUUGUAUCUCCCCUCAGCUGGAGGACUUCAUAAACUCUCUAAAACUUU